GACAGAGGCCUCGAGCGUUAGGCGGAAUCACUGGGCUUAAAGCGUGUGUAGGCGGAUCGUUAAGUGCCUUGUGAAAUCCCACGGCUUAACUGUGGAACGGCUGGGCAUACUGGCGGUCUUGAGCCAUCUAGGGGCGACUGGAACAAAUGGUGGAGCGGUGAAAUGCGUAGAUAUCGUUUGGAACGCCAAUGGUGAAAACAGGUCGCUGGGGAUGAGCUGACGCUGAGACACGAAAGCCAGGGGAGCAAACGGG
rnacentral:rRNA from 1 species